GACGAACGCUGGCGGCGUGCUUAACACAUGCAAGUCGAACGGAAAGGCCCUGCUUUUGUGGGGUGCUCGAGUUGCGAACGGGUGAGUAACACGUGAGUAACCUGCCCUUGACUUUGGGAUAACUUCAGGAAACUUGGGCUAAUACCGGAUAGGAGCUCCUGCUGCAUGGUGGGGGUUGGAAAGUUUCGGCGGUUGGGGAUGGACUCGCGGCUUAUCAGCUUGUUGGUGGGGUAGUGGCUUACCAAGGCUUUGACGGGUAGCCGGCCUGAGAGGGUGACCGGCCACAUUGGGACGGAGAUAAGGCACAGACUCCUACGGGAGGCAGCAGUGGGGAAUAGUGCACAAUGGGCGGAAGCCUGAUGCAGCAACGCAGCGUGCGGGAUGACGGCCUUCGGGUUGUAAACCGCUUUCGCCUGUGACGAAGCGUGAGUGACGGUAAUGGGUAAAGAAGCACCGGCUAACUACGUG
rnacentral:rRNA from 1 species